UACGGGGGGAGCAAGCGUUGUUCGGAUUUACUGGGCGUAAAGGGCGCGUAGGCGGCCACCGCAAGUCGACUGUGAAAUCUCCGGGCUUAACCCGGAAAGGUCAGCCGAUACUGCGGGGCUAGAGUGCAGAAGGGGCAACUGGAAUUCUCGGUGUAGCAGUGAAAUGCGUAGAGAUGUGGAGGAACACCGAUGGCGAAGGCAGCCCCCUGGGCCAACACUGACGCUCAGGCACGAAAGCGUGGGGAGCAAACAGG
rnacentral:rRNA from 1 species